rnacentral:rRNA from 1 species
UACGUAGGGGGCAAGCGUUGUCCGGAAUCAUUGGGCGUAAAGAGGGCGUAGGUGGCUUUGUAAGUCAGGUGUGAAAGCCCUGGGCUCAACCCAGGAAGUGCAUUUGAGACUGCGUAGCUAGGGUGCGGAAGAGGGAAGCGGAAUUUCCGGUGUAGCGGUGAAAUGCGUAGAUAUCGGAAGGAACACCAGUGGCGAAAGCGGCUUCCUGGUCCAGCACCGACGUUCAGGCACGAAAGCGUGGGGAGCAAACAGG